GGUCUCGGAGGACGGCUGUGUUAUUAUAGCAGACAGGUGCCGCUGCUGUGGAGCCCACGGACCGGGCGGCCAUGUCCUGAGCUCCGUGUGACCUUCGUGCGGCCCGGCCAGGAUGGAGGGGGACCCAGGCUCUCCGGCGGUGCUGCCUGCGGGCUCUGGGCUUGGCUUCGCCGCGCUGCUGCUCCUGUUUGCGGCCUCUCUGCUGACGGUGCUGGCCUGGUUACUGCAGGUGACACGGUGGUUCCGUCCAGCACAGCCCGGCGCCCGGGGGCUGCUCGGGGCCCUCUGCGGCUUCCCCUCCAUACGGGACAGCUGGGGCCGAGCCUGGGCGCAAGCGCUGAACCGGGAGGCGCUCAGGAGCCGGAGUUCUGUCCAGAUGAUGUUCGAGGAGAAUAUCUCCCUUCAGCCCAAUGUGCACAUCAGCCAGGUGUCGUGUACACAGCGCUCUGACAGCAGUAUGGUGUACCUUUGCCGUCUCUCGGCUGACACCGUGCGCUUUCCAGUGUCUGUCACUCAAGAGUCCCCCGCUGCCGUAUCCUGUGAUACCUACCAGGUCUCCUUAACUAUACAGAGUGCAAAGAUAGAAGUUCGAUUGCAGGAGCUGCAGCAGGCAGGCCUCCUGGUGUCGUGGAGUUUCGCGGAGCGUCCCGAUAUGCUGCUUCAUGUUGCACCCAAGCCGUCACAUCAGAAGAGUGAAGGAGGCGCAGACCUCUGUACGGUUCAAGACCUAGUACAAAACGCGUUGCUCACAGCAGAGCCAGCCAUGAUGUUCAACCUAAAAGCUCCUGAUAGUAAUCUGGGUGUCUGUGACAGACUGAUUCAGGGGUCGCCAAGUAGAACCGACAGCUUGAAACUUCUGGUUCGACAGCUGCACUUGCGGGAUGUUGUUCUGCAAGAUUCAGACGUUGAGCUGAUAUGUGAAGCUGAAAUGGAUGGUCAGCGGAAGAAAACCGGCUGCGCCAGGAUGCAUAAAACGGGAGAGGCCUGGAGCGUUUCAUGGAGUGAGGAGAUGAUACUUCAACUCACUCCUCAGAGCAGGGAGCUGUCGUUGAAAGUCUGGCAGAUGGGGAGAGACGCAGACGGUGAGUUUAUUUUUUGCAAACCCUCCCAUAGAUUGAAACUUGUGCCAGUGACAUCUAGAAGUAUUCAUACAUCCUUUCAUUCCCCCCUUAUAGAUAUUCUCCUGGGUCACACCAAGGUGGCUCUGAAGUCACCGGAGAGAGACCUGUGUGGAAAGCGUGUGUGCCCACUGACCAUGUGCACCAUGCUGCCUGAGAUCCCUGCACCGUCAAUAUCUGUGGAGUUCUAUAUAUCGGAGGCAAAUCUACUGCGGGCAACCUUGGGGACUCCAAUGCAGAGAAUUAAUAUUACGCCUACCAAGAAAGUGGAGAUGGAUCGUGCAGUGAUGCCAGAUGGUACUAUUGUAACUACUGUGACGACUAUUCAGUCGAGGCCAAAGCUUGACGGUAAGAUAGAUUCUCCUGCCAGAUCACCGUCUAAAGUUGAAGUGACCGAAAACAAACCAGUUUUAUUCCCCCGAAGCUGCUCUGCUGGUUCUUCUCCAAGUGGCAGUGGUGGCUCCCCAUCCUCCAUGAAGCUAGAUCCUGUGGCGGAGACGGCCAUUAGACAAUUAACCGAACCCAGCAACAAGUCCUCCAAGAGGACCCCCACCAAACGUAGCACACUGAUUAUAUCAGGAGUCUCGAAGGUACCGAUUGGUGAUGAUGAAAUGGCGCUCUCUCUCGGAUAUGCAGCUUCCAUGGAUGCCUCAUUGUAUGGUAUUUCCAAGUGUUUUCAAGUGCCACAGACGGAGGGCUCUGCUGACUUUCCUUCUGAGGUGACCACUUCCCACGGUCAAGACACAGAUGAGACCACAAGAUCGGACAUUUCAGAUCGCCCGUCCCUGGACGACUUGGAUUCUGAAACUGGCUCAACCGGGGCCUUGGAAACCCGCAGCCUUAAAGACCACAAAGUUGGAUUUCUUCGGAGCGGCACUAAACUCCUCUUCCGCCGACAUCACCGGGACGCAGGUCUGAGCCAGUCUCACGACGACUUGACCAAUGCCGCCGCCGCCUCUCGUAAGAAGAGCAGCUUUCCCCGACGACUGUUUAAACGUUUUUCUCUAAAAACCAAAUCCAAGCCCAAUGUUAACGGGAGUGCCCAGGCCGGAGAGAAGUGAUCCAUCAGGAGAUUCCGCUACCUCGGUCCGGUCACUGCAUGCCUGCAAAGCCUCCUGCCGGUGACUCCCCCAGGAGGCGGGCAUCCUGCAAAGAGCUUCCUGGUUGUGACAGUGUGUCGGCGCAGUAUACGAGUCCUGCUUCUUGCAAGAAAUGCUAAUGUGAUUGAGAGUCAGACUUUAAUUGCGAGUUUCGGUGCAGUGAUUUCUGUGAUCUGCAUACUCUACGCUUUGGGUGAAUUGCAGCCUGUCCACGCUUUUUGUCUUGUUUCUGAUGUCACAUUCAGUUACAGGCCUGUCAGCAGUAACACAGGGAAAGUCCAGCAUGAAUGGAGAGAAUAUUGGCAACUGGAAGCUGGUGGAGGAGGAAGGGCCCAGCGUGAAAUGAAGCUAAUUAUAAAAAAAAAUAUAAAAAAAUUCUUUCUUGUAAUCCACAUCCCUUGACCUCUAACAUGGUGGCCUUAAGGGGGUUGUCAGUCAGGAAUUUAUAAUUAAAUUGACAAAUGGGUGCUACCAUCUCCUUCUCCAUGGGGUAUGUCCCUACAGUCAGCACUGACUGGACAUUGUCACAUCCAGAUGUCAGGGGCGAUGAGAUGUCCGGUCUGUGAACCACCCAAGUCAAAGUGUAGCUUCUAGUGCUGUGAAGUGCUGGCGCACCCGCUCAGUCGUCCGAAAUUCAUCAUGCUGCUGCCGAGAACAUAGAAUAUCACGUUAUCUCUGCUUGUAAAUUAUGACUUUUUUUCCUUUUGCUCUGCUGGUCGGGGCACCGUGUGGGGCCUGGUAUUAUCCUGUGCGUAUGCCUUUUUAAUAUGAAGUUUUCUUUGUGGUGUAUUGAGUGUGUACAGAGAAUCAGAAAACCUAUUUAUUUGCUGUAUUUAUUCUCGGAUCUGUUGGCUGGAAUGUAAAACAAGCCCCCUGCAAUGGCUGCAAGUCAAUGGGGAUGUCUGCUGUAGUAUAUACUGUGAAGGAAACUGCCGUCUCUCAUGUAUGUAGAAGACAGUGCAGAGAUCCACGGUGUGCGGGUUGUCACACAAUCAAUAUUUUAAAAGGAUUCUCCAGUAUCAAAAUUGGGACGGGAGCGUGAGGCUCAGUUUAAAAAAAAAAAAAUAUAUAUAUAU